rnacentral:tRNA from 1 species
UAUGGCAGAAUAGUGCAAUGGAUUUAAGCCCCAUAUAUAAAACAUAAUUUUUAUUAAAA